rnacentral:misc_RNA from 1 species
GAUGAAGAACGUAGCGAAAUGCGAUAAGUAAUGUGAAUUGCAGAAUUCAGUGAAUCAUCGAAUCUUUGAACGCACAUUGCGCCCGCCAGUAUUCUGGCGGGCAUGCCUGUUCGAGCGUCAUUACAACCCUCAGGCCCCCGGGCCUGGCGUUGGGGAUCGGCGGAAGCCCCCUGCGGGCACAACGCCGUCCCCCAAAUACAGUGGCGGUCCCGCCGCAGCUUCCAUUGCGUAGUAGCUAACACCUCGCAACUGGAGAGCGGCGCGGCCACGCCGUAAAACACCCUACUUCUGAAUGUUGACCUCGAAUCAGGUAGGAAUACCCGCUGAACUUAAGCAUAUCAAUAAGCGGAGGA